rnacentral:lncRNA from 1 species
AAAUGACAGUAGAAAAGAGCAUAAAAAGAUGCAGUUAAAAAUAAAGACUAGUUAAAAGUUUCUCUGUCUCUGUUGAGAACAAAAAAUAUAAAGAAAAGCAGAGGAUAAGAGAACAGGGGAAGGAAGAGAGAGUAGUUUUAGUUUUCUGGGUUUGGGAAUCGUUGUAAGACAGAGAAGAAAGGGUGUAAGAGAAUCUGAGUCCUAAACAUGGUAAAACACAUGAAGUAGUGAUUUGCAUAGAUUCACUUUUUAUCUUUUCUUUUUUCAACUUCCCCAAACCACAUCAACCAAACCUCUCAUCACAUAAUAACCCCUCUCAUUCCAUCACCUUUUUCCUUCUUUAUCCACUACCUACAUCUUUAUUCUCACACUACUCAGAAAGAAAAAUAGAAACUAGUAGUGAGAGAGUUCAAAAUAUCAAUAAUAAAGGUGUGUGUGUGCUUUUAUAAAUUAUUAUAUUAUAUCCUUUUUCAGACAAAUAUGCCAAAGUGUUAGGUUUUUGUUUAGCUUAUUAUUUGCAUGUUCCGUACAAUCUUUGCUUAUUGUAAACCCUCUAGACACAUACACUAUCCUUCUAUAUUUGCAACUACCCAAGUGGUGCUGCUCUAUCUUCAAGGGUUCUUGUUUCAUGGAGAAGAAGAGAAACACCACUAGCCUUUGUAGGAGUGUUUCCUUCUUCUUUUUCUUCCUCUCAAUUUUCACUUUCAUCUUAACCAGCUCCAUUAUUACUACAUGUCUAGAUGCUAGCAGAUGUACCAUGUUUGCCAAAGCUGACAAAGAUUUUCAGGUAUCUAUUCUUUUGUCCAUUCAGUACAC